CAGAAUGGCUGAACAGGAGAAGACUGGACUUUGAAGCCACAUACCUGGUUCAAAGCUAGAAUGUUCACUUUUACUAGCUGAAGGAGCAGCAGCGGCUUCCCCUUCUCCUACACCGGGCUACUGUCACCUCCUCUACCAAGGGCGUGGUGAAACCCAGGUGACCUGGCAUGGGGAGACAUACUGCCUGGUUGGUGGCUACCGGUCUUAUGGGGAUGCACCUGUGGCCACCCCAGAAAAGGUGGAAGCAGAGAAGCCAGUCCCCAGGCGGGCUCCCAAGAGACAUGCAACUUCAGCGUCAGACCAAGAGCUAGGCUGCCCCCCGCCCAAACUUCGGCGGCUGCAACAUCGUGGCAAGAGGCUGACCCCACAGAAGCUUGCUGGCCAUGCCACUUGUGAGACUGGAACCGGAGCUGCCCUGAAUGAGCCUUCCUCAAGAGACCCAGAAGAGCUGCUCCCAGAGAAGGAACAAAAUGGAAAGAGUUGAGCAGCACCUCCAACGGAGGCCCACAGGCUUCUUUAUUCCCAGCCCUUCCUGACCCCAGUAUGGCCUCGUAGCGUAAAUAAAAUGGUUUUCUGUUACAGUGUUUGACUUUAAAUCCAGCUUGUCCAAGGCCAGGCCCCAAACCUCCCUGUUCCAUUAAAGUGUAUUCCCACAUGGCAUACCCGAUCCUUUAAGACCUUAGCCUCCAAA